UCCAAAGAACCGGAGUACGAGUCCUAUGC
rnacentral:piRNA from 1 species